rnacentral:tRNA from 1 species
GGGCGGUUAGCUCAGAUGGUAGAGCACCUCGUUUACACCGAGGGGGCCGGGGGUUCGAAUCCCUCACCGCCCACCA